GGGCCUGUAGCUCAAUGGCAGAGCUGUCGGCUCAUAACCGAUAGGUUGGGGGUUCAAGUCCUCCCGGGCCCACCA
rnacentral:tRNA from 1 species